GCAGCUCAUAGGGCGGCCUGCCUUCCAGAGGGCCUUGGGACUGGAUCGAAAGAUAUAUCUACUAGAAACAAUGAAGAGACGUCGUCGACUAGCUCUGAUCGAUCAGAUGUCGGUUUCUCUCAACCAGACCCCAGCGAUAUUGGAAGUUGUUCUCCACGGGCGGGUCUCAGCGACGAAGCCAGUCAAAACCAAAGGACUAUCUCCGAAGAAGGCGGGUCUGGUAGGCUCAGCCAUUGGCCCUCCUCUUCAGCGAUCGGUAGUGGACGAAAACGAAAACAAGCGAAUACAGGAACAAACGACACCUGCAGGAAAAAGCAAGCCCGUCGUGAGGGAUUCUCCCAUCCAAACAGUUCUCCACAGCCAGGACCCAGCGGUUAUAACCCGGGACGGCCGACAACAACACCCUCACCAACACCAGGUGAAAUAAGCCAACAUUUCAACGGGGCCUUAACAACGAUCGACGUGCCCGUCCCACCAGCAGACAACGGCGACAUUGCAUCAUAUUUCAACAACAACACUGGCCGUCUUCGCGAGGCAGUAGAGUCUGUAUUCCAAGGCUGCCAGCAGGUUAGACCUCCUUCUUUUAAAGUGUACGUUGACAUGCAUCUGCGUUUAGUCAGAGAAGACCCCGACGGUGGAGUUCAAUAUAGAGAUAUGUAUAUGAGAAGUCAUAUGCAGGUAAUUAGCUAUGACGAUAUAGAUUCAUAUGUACGUGAACUAUCCGAAUAUUUUGUUA